rnacentral:lncRNA from 1 species
GUCUUCGCCAACAUUUGGGUUUGAGACCCUACCCACCUCCCUCUCACCCCCAAGCCCCUUUUCCCUGGCGGAUGCCUUACCACCGUCAUUCCUUUAUCUAAAAUUUUCCUUUCCUUUAUACUCACUGGUGCCUUGUUAGGAAACGAAUCUGGGUUCAGCCUCAGGCAUCUGAAGCUUCUGGGAGAAGAAUAGAAUGGGACGGUAUAGAAAAACAACUGAGUGUGGAAUAUUCAUCGACAUCUAUUCCACUCAGCAGCAGGCACUUUGAGAGGCACUGGAGAUGAUCACACCUGGAGAACCUCAGCCUCUGCCUUCAAGGGGACACGAAAAUCCAUGAUGAAAUGCCAUGUGAUACGUGCUAUGAUUCCAACAUAUGACUCAGCCCUCCCAAUUUCAUGUCAUCUGAAAAUAUGGCAUACAUGCCUUCCAUGUCUUCAUCCAGGUCCAUGAUAAAAAUUGUCAAAGGAGAGAGAAAACUUUGGCACAGUACCAGAGAUCUUCAUCCAAACAAUCUCAAAUCGUUCAUCAGCUAUGAAUCUACCUAACAUGACAGGAUCCAGCCCACAUUUCUAUAUUAAUAUCACAAGACUCCAUCAAAUGCCUGAAAAAAUGAAGAAGGGCAACAUUCUAUGCAGGGAGGAAUAAUGAGAAAAAGAGCAGAGAAACAUGUGAUCUAUUUCUCAUAUGGAGAAUAUUCUCUCUGUAUUAAAAAAUU